AGCUGAAUCCUAAAGACUUGGCAGAUGAACCCAGGGUGCUUUCUACUUAGGGACCUGUCCAGGCCUGGGAAUCCGGCUGCGCCUGGCGGCCUUGGGGUUGAGUCUCCUUCUUCCAGGCGCAUCUCUGUGGUGAGAAGCUGACCGGGAGGAUGCAUCCUGAAAACAGUUUGGGCAUUUCUUCCUCCUGGCUCACCAGCCCCACGAGACAUUUGUUCUAAAAUAACCACAAGUCUGGAUGCACAAGACUACAUUAACUGUUCCAAUUUAUAACAUCUCAAUGAUAACUCUCAUCUGGAACUUCUGUCAGCAUGGAAAUGACCAGGCAGCUUUUUCCUCGGAAGAACUCAAGGGCAUGGUGAAGUGGCUGGACGUAUUCACAGGAACUCAUUGUGUCAGCUGUUGUGUAUCUAUGUGUAGCUUUCUACUUUGGAGCCAGAAGACCUAGACACACUGGAUUGAAAUACCGACUGUGGCCUUAGGCAAGAUCCUUAACCACUACAUCGGUUGUCAUGAGGAUUGAAUGAGGGAGAUAAUGUUGUAUAGGUUUUAGUUCAGAGCCUGCCAUGUGCCAAGUGAAAAUGCUUGUUUUCAUGUUUUCUGACAGUUACUAUUGUAACUUGUUCCUCCCUCCUCCCAAGGCACCUGGUACCCACCUCCCUUCAAAGCCCCUAGGCUCUGUGGUAGCAGGUUUUUUUGCAAGUCCAAUCCCUGGAAAGUAGACACCCCAUCUUACUCAGCUGUGUCCCCAUAGUGCCCAACACAUUGCUUGGCAUAUAGUAGGCUGUAGUGGAUACACAAUAAAUGGGUACUCCUUCACUCAACAAAGAUCUACUAUUUGGCCAGGUACUCUACUUGCUGCUAAGCAUUAAAGAGACAUGUCCUGUUGACAGUCUAGGCAGCGGUUCUCAACCUUCCUAAUGCCGUGACCCCUUAAUACAGUU